rnacentral:rRNA from 1 species
GACGAACGCUGGCGGCGUGCUUAACACAUGCAAGUCGAACGGAAAGGCCCUGCUUGCAGGGUACUCGAGUGGCGAACGGGUGAGUAACACGUGGGUGAUCUGCCCUGCACUUCGGGAUAAGCCUGGGAAACUGGGUCUAAUACCGGAUAGGAGCCAUUUUUAGUGUGAUGGUUGGAAAGUUUUUUCGGUGUAGGAUGGGCUCGCGGCCUAUCAGCUUGUUGGUGGGGUAAUGGCCUACCAAGGCGGCGACGGGUAGCCGGCCUGAGAGGGUGGACGGCCACAUUGGGACUGAGAUACGGCCCAGACUCCUACGGGAGGCAGCAGUGGGGAAUAUUGCACAAUGGGCGCAAGCCUGAUGCAGCGACGCCGCGUGGGGGAUGACGGCCUUCGGGUUGUAAACUCCUUUCGCUAGGGACGAAGCUUUUUGUGACGGUACCUAGAUAAGAAGCACCGGCUAACUACGUG